rnacentral:rRNA from 1 species
GGGUUGUGAGGUUAAGCGACUAAGCGUACACGGUGGAUGCCCUGGCAGUCAGAGGCGAUGAAGGACGUGCUAAUCUGCGAUAAGCGUCGGUAAGGUGAUAUGAACCGUUAUAACCGGCGAUUUCCGAAUGGGGAAACCCAGUGUGAUUCGUCACACUAUCAUUAACUGAAUCCAUAGGUUAAUGAGGCGAACCGGGGGAACUGAAACAUCUAAGUACCCCGAGGAAAAGAAAUCAACCGAGAUUCCCCCAGUAGCGGCGAGCGAACGGGGAGCAGCCCAGAGCCUGAAUCAGUGUGUGUGUUAGUGGAAGCGUCUGGAAAGGCGCGCGAUACAGGGUGACAGCCCCGUACACAAAAAUGCACAUACUGUGAGCUCGAUGAGUAGGGCGGGACACGUGGUAUCCUGUCUGAAUAUGGGGGGACCAUCCUCCAAGGCUAAAUACUCCUGACUGACCGAUAGUGAACCAGUACCGUGAGGGAAAGGCGAAAAGAACCCCGGCGAGGGGAGUGAAAAAGAACCUGAAACCGUGUACGUACAAGCAGUGGGAGCACAGAGCAAUCUGUGUGACUGCGUACCUUUUGUAUAAUGGGUCAGCGACUUAUAUUCUGUAGCAAGGUUAACCGAAUAGGGGAGCCGAAGGGAAACCGAGUCUUAACUGGGCGUUAAGUUGCAGGGUAUAGACCCGAAACCCGGUGAUCUAGCCAUGGGCAGGUUGAAGGUUGGGUAACACUAACUGGAGGACCGAACCGACUAAUGUUGAAAAAUUAGCGGAUGACUUGUGGCUGGGGGUGAAAGGCCAAUCAAACCGGGAGAUAGCUGGUUCUCCCCGAAAGCUAUUUAGGUAGCGCCUCGUGAAUUCAUCUCCGGGGGUAGAGCACUGUUUCGGCAAGGGGGUCAUCCCGACUUACCAACCCGAUGCAAACUGCGAAUACCGGAGAAUGUUAUCACGGGAGACACACGGCGGGUGCUAACGUCCGUCGUGAAGAGGGAAACAACCCAGACCGCCAGCUAAGGUCCCAAAGUCAUGGUUAAGUGGGAAACGAUGUGGGAAGGCCCAGACAGCCAGGAUGUUGGCUUAGAAGCAGCCAUCAUUUAAAGAAAGCGUAAUAGCUCACUGGUCGAGUCGGCCUGCGCGGAAGAUGUAACGGGGCUAAACCAUGCACCGAAGCUGCGGCAGCGACGCUGAUGCGUUGUUGGGUAGGGGAGCGUUCUGUAAGCCUGUGAAGGUGUGCUGUGAGGCAUGCUGGAGGUAUCAGAAGUGCGAAUGCUGACAUAAGUAACGAUAAAGCGGGUGAAAAGCCCGCUCGCCGGAAGACCAAGGGUUCCUGUCCAACGUUAAUCGGGGCAGGGUGAGUCGACCCCUAAGGCGAGGCCGAAAGGCGUAGUCGAUGGGAAACAGGUUAAUAUUCCUGUACUUGGUGUUACUGCGAAGGGGGGACGGAGAAGGCUAUGUUGGCCGGGCGACGGUUGUCCCGGUUUAAGCGUGUAGGCUGGUUUUCCAGGCAAAUCCGGAAAAUCAAGGCUGAGGCGUGAUGACGAGGCACUACGGUGCUGAAGCAACAAAUGCCCUGCUUCCAGGAAAAGCCUCUAAGCAUCAGGUAACAUCAAAUCGUACCCCAAACCGACACAGGUGGUCAGGUAGAGAAUACCAAGGCGCUUGAGAGAACUCGGGUGAAGGAACUAGGCAAAAUGGUGCCGUAACUUCGGGAGAAGGCACGCUGAUAUGUAGGUGAAGUCCCUCGCGGAUGGAGCUGAAAUCAGUCGAAGAUACCAGCUGGCUGCAACUGUUUAUUAAAAACACAGCACUGUGCAAACACGAAAGUGGACGUAUACGGUGUGACGCCUGCCCGGUGCCGGAAGGUUAAUUGAUGGGGUCAGCGCAAGCGAAGCUCUUGAUCGAAGCCCCGGUAAACGGCGGCCGUAACUAUAACGGUCCUAAGGUAGCGAAAUUCCUUGUCGGGUAAGUUCCGACCUGCACGAAUGGCGUAAUGAUGGCCAGGCUGUCUCCACCCGAGACUCAGUGAAAUUGAACUCGCUGUGAAGAUGCAGUGUACCCGCGGCAAGACGGAAAGACCCCGUGAACCUUUACUAUAGCUUGACACUGAACAUUGAGCCUUGAUGUGUAGGAUAGGUGGGAGGCUUUGAAGUGUGGACGCCAGUCUGCAUGGAGCCGACCUUGAAAUACCACCCUUUAAUGUUUGAUGUUCUAACGUUGACCCGUGAUCCGGGUUGCGGACAGUGUCUGGUGGGUAGUUUGACUGGGGCGGUCUCCUCCUAAAGAGUAACGGAGGAGCACGAAGGUUGGCUAAUCCUGGUCGGACAUCAGGAGGUUAGUGCAAUGGCAUAAGCCAGCUUGACUGCGAGCGUGACGGCGCGAGCAGGUGCGAAAGCAGGUCAUAGUGAUCCGGUGGUUCUGAAUGGAAGGGCCAUCGCUCAACGGAUAAAAGGUACUCCGGGGAUAACAGGCUGAUACCGCCCAAGAGUUCAUAUCGACGGCGGUGUUUGGCACCUCGAUGUCGGCUCAUCACAUCCUGGGGCUGAAGUAGGUCCCAAGGGUAUGGCUGUUCGCCAUUUAAAGUGGUACGCGAGCUGGGUUUAGAACGUCGUGAGACAGUUCGGUCCCUAUCUGCCGUGGGCGCUGGAGAAUUGAGGGGGGCUGCUCCUAGUACGAGAGGACCGGAGUGGACGCAUCACUGGUGUUCGGGUUGUCAUGCCAAUGGCACUGCCCGGUAGCUAAAUGCGGAAGAGAUAAGUGCUGAAAGCAUCUAAGCACGAAACUUGCCCCGAGAUGAGUUCUCCCUGACUCCUUGAGAGUCCUGAAGGAACGUUGAAGACGACGACGUUGAUAGGCCGGGUGUGUAAGCGCAGCGAUGCGUUGAGCUAACCGGUACUAAUGAACCGUGAGGCUUAACCUUACAACGCCGAAGGUGUUU